rnacentral:lncRNA from 1 species
CAGAGACACCCACCUGACAUUAUGCAGUAGGUAGUCCAGACACUGUUCGCAAACAACUGGGUCUGCUUGCCUGGCACAAAAAAGCCAAACACUGACAUCAGGAUUGCAGCAAGAGAAAGUGAAGCAUUCAUUGCAGGUCACCAAGCAAGGAGAAUCAGGCAGCUCAGGCUGAAGACCUGAAUUCUCCAAUAGCUUACAGAUGGAGUUUCGCUCGUUACCCAGUCUGGAGUGCAAUGGCGCAAUCUCGGCCUGGGUUCAGGCAAUUAUCCUGCCUCAGCCUCCGGAGUAGCUGGGAUUACAGGUAUGCACCACCAUGCCCAGCUAAAUUUUUGUAUUUUUAGUAGAGACAGGGUUUCACCAUGUUGACCAGGAUGGUCUCCAUCUCUUGACCUCGUGAUCCACCUGCCUCGGCCUCCCAAAGUGCUGGGAUUACAGGCUUGAGUCACCGCACCCGGCCAAUUUGGCAUACUUUUGUCUUGGUGUUGACUUUCUAUGCUCGCUCCAGUACAACAAUUGCAUCUUCCAUGGUAUUGAACUGUAGACACAUAUGUAUCUCUACUUAACUCUUUAGACUGUCGUGAAUUUUUCUUAGUGAGAAUAAGUGCUUGGGGCCUGUCAUGGGGACAUUUAUUUAAGUUUUUCAUUUCUUUUCUUUCCUUUUUUUUUUGAGACGGAGUUUCACUCUUGUUACCCAGGCUGGAGUUCAAUGGCGCGAUCUCGGCUCACCGCAACCUCUGCCUCCUGGGUUCAAGCAAUUCUCCUGCCUCAGCCUCCCAAGUAGCUGGGACUACAGGCAUGCACCACCAUGCCCAGCUAAUUUUUGUGUUUUUUAGUAGAGACAGGGUUUCACCAUGUUGACCAGGAUGGUCUCGAUCUCUUGACCUCGUGAUCCACCUGCCUCGGCCUCCCAAAGUGCUGGGAUUAUAGGCGUGAGCCACCAAGCCCGGCCCCAUUUUUUUUCAUUUCUUAAUGGAAAGAUUUUUAUAUUCAUAUUUCUAUCACCUCCUGCUGAGAUAAUUUCAUAAGUCCUAGUUAUAUCAUUAAGAAUAAGAAACCACUAUUUCUAGGAAGUAUUAUGGAAUAUUAAAUUAUGAUUAACAGUG